rnacentral:rRNA from 1 species
UACGGAGGAUGCGAGCGUUAUCCGGAUUUAUUGGGUUUAAAGGGUGCGUAGGCGGACUGUCAAGUCAGCGGCAAAAUUGAGAGGCUCAACCUCUUCCCGCCGUUGAAACUGGUGGUCUUGAGUGGAUGAGAAGUACGCGGAAUGCGUGGUGUAGCGGUGAAAUGCAUAGAUAUCACGCAGAACUCCGAUUGCGAAGGCAGCGCACCGGCGCCCUACUGACGCUCAGGCACGAAAGCGUGGGUAUCGAACAGG